rnacentral:rRNA from 1 species
CUACGGGGGGCUGCAGUGGGGAAUAUUGGACAAUGGGGGAAACCCUGAUCCAGCAAUGCCGCGUGUGUGAAGAAGGCCUGCGGGUUGUAAAGCACUUUCGGUUGGGAGGACUGCUUCUAGCACUAAUAUUGUUGGAAGUUGACGUUACCUUCAGAAGAAGCACCGGCUACUCCGUGCCAGCAGCCGCGGUAAUACGGAGGGGGCAAGCGUUAAUCGGAAUUACUGGGCGUAAAGCGCGCGUAGGCGGCUAGAUCAGUCGGGUGUGAAAGCCCCGGGCUUAACCUGGGAACUGCAUCCGAUACUGUCUAGCUUGAGUACAGGAGAGGAGAGUGGAAUUCCACAUGUAGCGGUGAAAUGCGUAGAUAUGUGGAGGAACACCAAUGGCGAAGGCAGCUCUCUGGCCUGAUACUGACGCUGAGGUGCGAAAGCGUGGGGAGCAAACAGGAUUAGAUACCCGUGUAGUC